rnacentral:rRNA from 1 species
AUUGAACGCUGGUGGCAUGCUUAACACAUGCAAGUCGGACGGUAACAGGUGUAGCUUGCUACAUGCUGACGAGUGGCGGACGGGUGAGUAAUGCAUAGGAACUUACCUUAUGGAGGGGGAUCGCUCAGGGAAACUUGAGGUAAUACCGCGUAAGACCGAGAGGUGAAAGGGGGCGUAAGCUUUCGCCAUAAGAUGGGCCUAUGUGGGAUUAGCUAGUUGGUAAGGUAAAGGCCUACCAAGGCGACGGUCCAGAGCUGGUCAGAGAGGAGACCCAGCCAGACUGGGACUGAGACACGGUCAAGACUACGACGGGGGUCAGCAGUUGGGAAGAUUGCACAAUGGUCGCAAGCCUGAUGCAGCCAUGCCGCGGGUGUUAAGAAGGCCUUCGGGUUGUAAAGCACUUUCAGCGGGGAGGAAGGGGGCAGGCUUAAUACGUCGGUUCAUUGACGUUACCCACAGAAGAAGCACCGGCUAACUCCGUGCCAGCCGCCGCAGUAA